rnacentral:rRNA from 1 species
GAUGAACGCUGGCGGCGUGCCUAAUACAUGCAAGUCGAGCGAAUGGAUUAAGAGCCUGCUCUUAUGAAGUUAGCGGCGGACGGGUGAGUAACACGUGGGUAACCUGCCCAUAAGACUGGGAUAACUCCGGGAAACCGGGGCUAAUACCGGAUAACAUUUUGAACCGCAUGGUUCGAAAUUGAAAGGCGGCUUCGGCUGUCACUUAUGGAUGGACCCGCGUCGCAUUAGCUAGUUGGUGAGGUAACGGCUCACCAAGGCAACGAUGCGUAGCCGACCUGAGAGGGGGAUCGGCCACACUGGGACUGAGAAACGGCCCAGGCUCCUACGGGAGGCAGCAGUAGGGAAUCUUCCGCAAUGGACGAAAGUCUGACGGAGCAACGCCGCGUGAGUGAUGAAGGCUUUCGGGUCGUAAAACUCUGUUGUUAGGGAAGAACAAGUGCUAGUUGAAUAAGCUGGCACCUUGACGGUACCUAACCAGAAAGCCAUGGCUAACUACGUGCCAGCCGCCGCCGUAA